GAUGAACGCUGGCGGCGUGCCUAAUACAUGCAAGUCGAGCGAACAGACGAGGAGCUUGCUCCUCUGACGUUAGCGGCGGACGGGUGAGUAACACGUGGAUAACCUCCCUAUAAGACUGGGAUAACUUCGGGAAACCGGAGCUAAUACCGGAUAAUAUAUUGAACCGCAUGGUUCAAUAGUGAAAGACGGUUUUGCUGUCACUUCUAGAUGGAUCCGCGCCGCAUUAGCUAGUUGGUAAGGUAACGGCUUACCAAGGCAACGAUGCGUAGCCGACCUGAGAGGGUGAUCGGCCACACUGGAACUGAGACACGGUCCAGACUCCUACGAGAGGCAGCAGUAGGGAAUCUGCCGCUAUGGGCGAAAGCCUGACGGAGCAACGCCGCGUGUGUGAUGAAGGUCUUCGGAUCGUAAAACUCUGUUAUUAGGGAAGAACAAAUGUGUAAGUAACUAUGCACGUCUUGACGGUACCUAAUCAGAAAGCCACGGCUAACUACGUG
rnacentral:rRNA from 1 species